rnacentral:rRNA from 1 species
UGGGGGAUAUUGCACAAUGGGGGAAACCCUGAUGCAGCGACGCCGCGUGAGUGAAGAAGUAUUUCGGUAUGUAAAGCUCUAUCAGCAGGGAAGAAGAUGACAGUACCUGAGUAAGAAGCCCCGGCUAACUACGUGCCAGCAGCCGUGGUAAUAGUCGUCU